AGUCACGCACAUUGGUUUCCUUUAAGACCAUUAUUCUCACUAGCGUUACUCUCACUCAGAGGUGAUUUUGGCUUGUUAGAGGGGACAAAUGGUGGGCCUUCCAGAACUAUCAGGCAUUCUGCAGACCUGACGAAUGAAAGCAGCCUCCUCCUUUGCAGGCUUCCCCAGAAACAUCUACCUCCUGAACCACGAAGAUUUAUGUAUGCCAUGAGCCCAGCCUGGGAAUGCUCUGAGCCGAGCUCAGCAAGGAUGCCUGAAAUGUGGUCGUGGCAAGUCUUUCCUAGUCAUCUGCAGUUAGCCCCGAGUUUCAUAAACCUCCUGAAGUACGCAGGACACCUACCUCUAUAAAUGGCUUAGUUCCAGCUUCUAGGGGAAUUGGGAGCAUUUGCUGUUUAUAUUGACCCUAACCAUACAUUAUAGAUAUUCAACAAA